AGGGCAGCGAAGCCGCGAGGUGGAGGCAAAUCCCAGAAAACUGAUCUCAGUUCGGAUUGCAGGCUGCAACCCGCCUGCAUGAAGUCGGAAUCGCUAGUAAUCGCGGGUCAGCAUACCGCGGUGAAUACGUUCCCGGGCCUUGUACACACCGCCCGUCACACCACGAAAGUUGGUAACACCCGAAGCCGGUGGCCUAACCCUUAGGGGAGGGAGCUGUCGAAGGUGGGACUGAUGAUUGGGGUGAAGUCGUAACAAGGUAAC
rnacentral:rRNA from 1 species